ACGGAAGGCAGCAGUGGGGAAUAUUGCACAAUGGGCGCAAGCCUGAUGCAGCGACGCCGCGUGAGUGAGGAAGUAUUUCGGUAUGUAAAGCUCUAUCAGCAGGGAAGAAAAUGACGGUACCUGACUAAGAAGCCCCGGCUAACUACGUGCCAGCAGCCGCGGUAAUACGUAGGGGGCAAGCGUUAUCCGGAUUUACUGGGUGUAUAGGGAGCGUAGACGGCAAGGCAAGUCUGAUGUGAAAGGCAGGGGCUCAACUCCUGGACUGCAUUGGAAACUGUCUGGCUGGAGUACCGGAGGGGUAAGCGGAAUUCCUAGUGUAGCGGUGAAAUGCGUAGAUAUUAGGAGGAACACCAGUGGCGAAGGCGGCUUACUGGACGGUAACUGACGUUGAGGCUCGAAAGCGUGGGGAGCAAACAGGAUUAGAUACCCUGGUA
rnacentral:rRNA from 1 species